UUUAUUUUUCUGUGUCCAACGUUUGACCAUUCGUCUUAUUUGAAAUUUUUUGUGAUUAAUAUUUUUAUUGUUACUAGGUGAUAAAAUAUAAACAAUACUUUUUUACGUGACUAAUUUUUUUUAGUUUUUUAUAAAAUUUUCAAAUAAAACGAAUGGUCAAACAUUGGAUACGGAAAAAC
rfam:Oryza brachyantha chromosome 6, whole genome shotgun sequence.